UACGUAGGGUGCAAGCGUUGUCCGGAAUUAUUGGGCGUAAAGAGCUUGUAGGCGGUUUGUUGCGUCUGCUGUGAAAUUUCGGGGCUCAACCCCGAACUUGCAGUGGGUACGGGCAGACUAGAGUGUGGUAGGGGAGACUGGAAUUCCUGGUGUAGCGGUGAAAUGCGCAGAUAUCAGGAGGAACACCGAUGGCGAAGGCAGGUCUCUGGGCCACUACUGACGCUGAGAAGCGAAAGCAUGGGGAGCGAACAGG
rnacentral:rRNA from 1 species